GGCCAUCUGAAAGGGGCAAAUGCAUCUGGUCCGUCUGUUUCACCUGGUACAGUAAAUUUUGGUUCCCACUUUUACCUACAGCCGUCCGAUUCAGUAAUGUUUUCCUCACCCACCGCUGCUCGUUGAGGGUGUAUGACAUAUGGGUCCGUGUUUGAGUGGGACCACUUAUUUGCUGCGGUGGGCAUUCGGAGUCGCGUCGCUCAGAAAAUGGAAGGCAGUGAAAACCUAACCGACCGCGAGCCUCUCCUCCCAAUCCCGUGCCUCCUCUCCUCUCCCCCAAUCCCGGCCUCCUCUCUUCCUUCUCAAUCAGCCGUCGCCCGGCGGCGACCGGAGGCGACGAGCGUGGCCGGAGACGGGCCGGCGCGAGCGGAUCUGCGGAGCGGUGACCCGAGGCGACGGGCACGGCCGGAGGGGGACCGGCACGGGGCGGCCACCUCAGGUGAAGAACCGGUGGGAGGGAUCGAGAUCCGCAGCGGCCCACUGUUGGCUCCUCUCCCAGGUCAGCUCCAUCAAGGUCCGGAUCUCCCCCUUCUCUCUCUCCUGCGGCUGAGGAGGUCGGAUCUUGGACCGUGGGUGGAGGAGCAGGAGCAGGCGGCUCUGGUCGGGGCGCUAUGUGAAGGAGAUGCUGGGGGCGGCGCUGGCCAAGAGGACGAGCUGCAGCCAUGGGAAGGCUCGAUCCCUGCUCCACUUCCUCUCUCCCUCCUUGUCUUUCAGUUCGUUUACUGCCAAUUUAGAUGAACAGCCAUGGGAAGGCUCGAUCCCUGCUCCACUUCCUCUCUCCCUCCUUGUCUUUCAGUUCGUUUACUGCCAGCUUGACUUUCUUUUCACCAUACCCAAUCUCUAAACUACUCAAUUCUUACAUGGAUUAAUUUUUCUGGUUAAUAGGUACUUGGUAAAUGGAACACAGUUAACCAAGACAGCAGGCUUGCUCCAUUGGCAAAAAUGGUUAUGUGGCUAGAAAAGGACAGCUGGCGCUGGCAGGCGGCGGCGCGGAGAGUGGUGGCGGGAGCGGAGGCGAUGCGGCGAGCGCUGACGAAGGCUGGCACACCCACGUUUCCCUCUCCUCUUCCUCUCUGCUCAGACCGUGGUCCUCGACGCCUGCAUCUGGGCUGCUAGCAGCAGGUCUGGUUGGGGAAGCACAAGGAGAGAAACAACCAGAGGUUGCCGCUGUUAUUCCUGUAGACGGUUUGCUACAGCACUGCCGGCAGUCCAGGUAGUUUGGGUGAGGCCAGUUCAGGUCUGAUCCAUUGACUGCUUCAUGCCUUGGGAGUUGGGACUUGAUCAUGCUCUAGACCAAAGCUCUCCAUCAAGCUUUGUGCUCAGCUGUGCCCAAGCUCAGCUAUAUCAACACUACAUUUAAAGAAGAAAGUGCGGAAGAAACAAGCCAUUAGGAACUAGAAUAAACAAUUUGGCAAGGUUGUGAAAUUGAUUGACCCAAGGAGUAAAAACUCUCUGUAUGCAGUUCAGGUUGUUCUUGACUUAUACUUGUACGCGAGGAGCCAAUUUGAUGACCGAACUAAGGCCAUUCAAUAAGUGUAAACCUUUUGUUAAACCAUCAGCAGAAUAACUAUUUUCAGAUCUACCUCCAAAUGAAGAACAUGUCCCCACUGUAGUUCUGGAUGUGAGUGAUAAUUUGUACACUCAGAUUGGAAGACUACCACCUCCUCAAAAUGCAGCUAAGGUGUUUCUCAAUUACUGUAAGCUGCAUCUUUCACUUUCUUGAACAGUUUGGCCGGCUGAUUGUUUUUGUAUGAAUAUCUUGAGGAUUCCCAAGAGGUUUAAUUUAAGGAUGUGGUGACUUGAUUUUUUAGUCGCACAUAAUCUUUACUUUAGUCUUUAUCAUAACCUAUCGGAAAUAUGGACUAUAAGGUGAGGUUUUAACCUAUCCAAGUUCAUAGAGUGUUUAAAAUAGAUGCUAAGAUGUCAUGUUUACUAUUAAGGUGUGUGGGUCAAAUUCUGAAACUUUUACUAAAUAUUGGCUUCGUAGACAUGAGUUUGUGUCUGUUUACUAUUUGUGUAGCUCAAUAUUUAGUCUAUGGAAUUGUACUAUAACAGUCUUUCUUUGUCAGAUCGGGUUGCUAUCUUAGAGAAAAGGGGACAGUUUUGUGACGUCUUGGCUAAGGUUUUGAAGGAUCCACUGCCAAUGAAUUGGAUAUCAGAUGCUUGCCAUAUAAGAGAUGCAAUGCGGACAUAGAACUGUACAUGGGAGCUUUAUGCGGAGAAGCAAAUGUGGAUAUCAAGUUCUCAAUGUGAAUGUGUUUAUGUCUUUGCACAUCUGGAGCAGCUUUGAGUUAGCAUGUUUUGCCUGCUUUGAACUGGAGCAACACUCGUGCACUGGUCAUCUAGAGAACCGCAAGGACCCUAGCUGAUGUAGUAUCGACUUUUGAUAUUAUUGGUUACUCUGUUUUGGCACUACUGUAAUUUUGUUCUAAAACCUUCCAAAGUUACAUGGGUGAUUUAUUUUAAGCAAGUGCUCAAUGUCAUGGAUCCAUAUGGCCCUGAAAAAAGAAUGCUUGUGAUACCGAUAUUGCAAAAACAAUAUUCAUUGACAGUAGUAAAACAAUAGAAACCUUAUGGUUCAAAUAUUGUUUUGAUUUCGCCAUUUGCGCCAUUGUUGUCGGUUUUUCUUAUAGAAUCUUUCUUCGCCUUUUAUUUAUCUUUAUCAUCACAAUGCGAAAUGAAGCACCCAAGCAUUCUUAAAAGAAGUUAAAUGUCCAAACAAGAGGAUUUCUCUAUGAACUUUUCCUCUUUGUAAAGAUUCGGAUCGUGCUGGUGCUUGAUGCAGGUGGUUCAGAUGAUUAAUGGGUUUUUCUUCUGUAUGCAGAGAAGGAAAAGGAUAAAGGACAUGCUCUGGCCUUAUAAAAUCUGGUAUCCAACCAAGGUAUUUUACCUAUCCCGAUAAGAAGCCCGACCUGAAAAAUUGGUAUUGUCUGUUACCUCAAUUGUUAAAAAUUGAGCCAGCGUACGAAGACUAUAGCACCAGAUUUGAUCUUUGACCACCCUAUUUUUAUAUUCUACUUUGUAACCGUAUUGUUCAUAAUUGUUUGGCUGAGAUUGGUAAUAUUGUGGCUAGGCAGGGCUAUACAUAUGAAUGAAGCUGGCUCAUGUGAGGUUUCAGUUCAGGGCCUAGGCUAGGAUCCCUGCUUCUAAGAAUGUGGGUUAAUUUCCAGGCACCUUUGCUUUGAUACGGACCUGAUCGUGACCUACAAAUAGAGACUCCAAUCUAAAGGAAUCCGUUCAUUUGUUCGUUCAUGUCGAUUUUGAACUAGAAGAAAACUGCUCUAAUCUAUUUGAAGUCAUGAUUUAACCUCUGUAAAUGUUUCCUCACCUUUGGUAGUCAGUCUCUCUGUACAUUUUUUCCAUAUCCUUUUGAUUCUCUUUGUUUCCUGGUAGAUUUUUUUAUUUGAAAUUAGUAACCUCUGGCGCAUGGCCCAUUAGCACAUGAUAAUUACUUCCAUUUUGGAAACAGUUUAAACAACAGAGCUCCUGCCAUAUAAACUUGGAGCGACAACAAAACAAGGGUCCUCAUGGUGGUGACGACUAACGAUGAAGGAGGAAGGGGGCUAGGUGGUGGAGGCGAGGACGGUGGUUCUGGUCGACUGUGCCUGCCCGUCUCCGCGUGGUCUGAGUGGCACUACUACUGUGAUAUGCAAGCACCUCAGGUGUGUCUACAUCCCUCUGUAUUUCCAAUGAUGCAUGCCUUAUUGUCUACGUCACUCAAAGUAGAUUUAUGGAGACGCAUGUGUUUUCCCUGAGAUAAAGGAUGAGUCAGGUUGCAAGCGGGGCGGGAUAUCCCGCUACCCCGCUGGGCCGCCCCGCAAAAUACGCCCGCGAAACUCCGCUGGGUCGACCGCUUCGUUUUGGAUGCGCCUUGUGUGUUGGGAUGAGGCCUAAUGAAUGGAUAACUUCCUAAUAACCCUAAAGAUCAACUUCCCAGAAUGAUAUCCAAUGCUCGGAAGGAAGCUCAUCCUAGCAUGCAAGGGCUCGGAAAGGGCACCUAGGGCAAACUCGAGGAUUGGGCCACGGACGCGACGAGUUGGUGAAGGAAGCAGGGUUGUGGGGUGGCUUUGCUGGAGCGGUGCCCUUAAAGCGCACCACCAUGAGCCACCCAUUAACGGGGUAGGCUCCGACCUGAAGGAGGCGAGAGCAGUUGUGGCCAGAGAGGAGGCGGACGACAGCGUGGCCAUGGAGGCCACUGACACAAGCUUAGGGAGGAGUACGGAAGCUUUGGGGAUGGCGGCACGAUGGCGUCGGCAGCCCCAACUCCUACAUGACAAACAGGGGUGGGAAUAGGGCGACGAAGGUAGGCCGGAUCUGGCUUCAGUGGUUGGAGAGGACGUCAGGGAAAGGAGAUCAGACCACUAAUUAAGUAGCAAUCAUGGUGUUGUCAUGUUGUAGCGACUGAACUUAGAAGCAAGUUGUGUGAUAUUGGUUCAGGUUCAGGUCCAAGGUCCAGGUCCCUCCCUCUGGUCUAAAAACUUAUAGUUACCUAAAUCUAUCUAUACCUAAUAAUAAAGGGAGAAGCGUUUCCGUGGUUC